AGCCUUCUGAAUCCGUUGCCAAGACUUUGUCAGACACCAGACCAUCAGGACUGACGAGACAUCCCAAGAUGAGUGAAGCA
rfam:Schistosoma haematobium scaffold57_12, whole genome shotgun sequence.